UUGUCCCAACAACUCAGCAAGAUAAAUGGUCCAGUGUGUGCAGCAACCUUUGCCAGUCCUGCACCCCAGAAGGAAGCAAGCAGCACCAUGACAGAUGGGCUGACAAGCAGCACUGACACAACUGGGGCAGCGUGGGUGUCGGAGGGUUAGAACCACAUCCCUCUCUUUUCCUCUUUGCACCCCAGCACCUCUGGGCCAAACAGCUGUUGCUUAUCACCACCUCCCAUGGUUAUUGAUGGAAGCUGGCAGCAUGAGACCCCUCUCUAGGAGAAAAACACUAGUCACAGUCCUAACGUUGCUCUGCAAAGCUGCCAUCUGUGCUCUCCAUGGAUGCUGGUAAGAUAUCUGAGUGCAUCAGUGCUAAGUUCCUGACUAGACUUGACUCUGCUUCUCUAUAUUCCUUUCCAGAAGGGAAGAUCCUAGGCUGGCUCUUUGGGAUCUGGUUCCUGGGCUGUCCCUUCAUUUUCUGUCCUGCUGAGGAGCAGAUGUUCCAGCAUUUGAAGAGCUGCGUGUUGUAGGAUUUCUGUUGUCCCUGCUUUUAUGAUCUCAACCCAUCCCGUAGAUGAAUGGAAAAACUGAUCUGGCAUACAUCUUCUUUCCCAAAGUUUGAAGCCUGUAAGUAUUUUUUAACAGUAUCUUUUGGGAAAAGCACCAGAGCUCUUGGAAUCCAGCUCUUUGCUAGAAAUCAGUGAGGUGGGACAAGGGACAGAAGAUGUGCUGUGGCUCUUGACACAUCACCUGCCUCAUUAAAAGACUGCCACGAAUCCUGUUUCCAAUUGCAGUAGAGCUGGGCUUGGAGAGAGCUCAUCUUUUCUGACCUUCCUGCUCACAGCUGGGUCAGAUGGAUCGGGCUGCCUGGGACCACAACAGCACUGGGCUCUCCUCAGGCAGAGAGGUUUUGAGUAUCUCCAAGGAUAGGUGCCCCCCUGGCAUCAAGUGUUCAAGAAGUUCUUAUAUUUAAACUAAAUUUCUUGUGUUUAAUUUGGACUGCUGAGAUGAGUCUGGCUCCUUUGCCUUUGCUCCCUUUUCCCUGUGCAUGUGGUUGUGCUUGCCCACGUUCAGGGCUUUUUCUUCAUGAGACUCCCACCUGCCCAUCUCUCCAGCCUGCUGAGGUCCCUGCAAAGGGCAGCACAACCAUCUUCUCUGCUGACCAUUCCUUCCUCCCCAUCUUGUAUCAUCUGUGAACUUGCAGGCAGUGCACUAUCUCUGGUCAUCUGAGUCACUGAUAAAGGUCAUUAAGGGACCUUUCCUAUCCUCUUCAUGAAUUUUGGCAGGCAGAAAAGAAAGUUAUAACUGGAC
rnacentral:lncRNA from 1 species